rnacentral:sRNA from 1 species
ACUGAGCCGCGCCAGCUGAGCCAGGUUUGCAGUAAGCAUUGGCUACUGGCAUGACCCUUACAUACAGCACUUUGUGAGACUGUCUAAAGAGAGGAAAGCCCCUGAAAUCAACAGAGGAUAUUUUGCUCGAGUCCAUGGUGUCAGUCAGCUUAUAAAGGCAUUUCUACGGAAGACAGAAUGUCAUUGUCAAAUUGUCAACCUUGGGGCAGGCAUGGAUACCACCUUCUGGAGAUUAAAGGAUGAAGAUCUUCUCCCAAGUAAAUAUUUUGAGGUUGACUUUCCAAUGAUUGUCACGAGAAAGCUGCACAGUAUCAAAUGCAAGCCUCCCCUAUCCAGCCCCAUUCUAGAACUGCAUUCAGAGGACACACUUCAGAUGGCUUGAGUAGCCCCUGACUUAAGAAGAGCAACUGAAUCAUGGGAUGCUGGUGUGAGUUACUCAAGUCAUCAAAUUCUAUCAUUCAAAGGGAUCUCAAGGUCGUCUUGUCCAGUGCUUCCCAUGUGGUAUACCAGUAUGCCACCACA